rnacentral:tRNA from 1 species
AAUUCUUUGGCAGAAAAAUUGUAUUAAGCUUAGAACUUAAAAAUGAGGAUCCUACCUCAAGGAUUA